GUAGUCUCGCACAGAUGCAUAUCAAUAAGCGGAGGAAAAGAAACUAACAAGGAUUCCCCUAGUAACGGCGAGUGAAGCGGGAAGAGCUCAAAUUUGAAAUCUUAAAGGGUUUCCCUUUACGAAUUGUAGUUUAAAGAAGUGUUUUCUGUUGAGGUUUUGGUAAAAGUUCUUUGGAAUAGGACAUCAUAGAGGGUGAGAAUCCCGUAUUUGACCUUUACUUUCAACUUUGUGAUACACUUUCAAAGAGUCGGACUGUUUGGGAAUGCAGUCCAAAAUGGGUGGUAAAUUUCAUCUAAAGCUAAAUAUUGGCGAGAGACCGAUAGCGAACAAGUACCGUGAGGGAAAGAUGAAAAGAACUUUGAAAAGAGAGUUAAACAGUACGUGAAAUUGUCAAAAGGGAAGCGUUUGACACCAGUGUUGUUUUUCUGAAAAUCAAUUAAAGAACUGUUUAUGCUAAGCUGUUUAGACUUUAUCAGCUAAUCUGUUUAGUUUUGAGCUUUUCUUUAAUGCACUUUUCAGUUAACAAGUCAACAUCAAUUUCUUUUGCUGUAAAAAAGCUUGAGGAAGGUGGCUUGAGAUUCGUCUUAAGUGUUUAUAGCCUCUUGCCUAUGCAGUCGGAGAGAUUGAGGUCUGCAGCGUAGAUCCUUCGGGGCUAAAUGCAUUUGUGCUAAGUUAUAGCAUUUCAUAGACAACUUGUUGACUAUGAUUUGUCUUGUAGCUUACUCGCUUAUGUUAUUUACCUACGCUUAGGAUGUUGAUCUGUAGUGCGUGCGC
rnacentral:rRNA from 1 species